rnacentral:tRNA from 6 species
AGUCCUGUGGUGUAGUGGUCUAGCAUAUCAGGUUCUGGUCCUGAUGACAACGGUUCGAAUCCGUUCAGGACUA